AUCCAUGAUGAUUUCAUCAAAGCUUUUCUUUUCAUCAUGGUGAUACUUGUGAUGGUACUUUGCGCUGUCAUUUACUAUAAGGUUGGUAAAUGGUAUAAAAGACAUGAGCAGGGGGAGUAUUAUGCCCCGGAAGGAGAUGGGCGUUCAACACGGAGAUUCAAAAAAAUGUUUUCGACAGCAAGGAACAUGGUGAUGGUCAUCAUAUUCUGUUGGGCACCAGUUCUUGCCCUCAUUGUGAUGUCUAUCCUGAUGACCUGGACAAGCAUUGAACAGCACAGCUUUUUUGGGCUUUACAUACUACAGGCUAUCUGUGUGUCCAUACAAGGCUUUCUGAACAGUAUGGUUUACGCCUGGAGACGGCCAAACUUCACAGAUGCUGUUCUUGGGGAGACCACACCCCUCAUGGCACAUAAUCAGCUCGCCUUCUUUGAAGAGUCACUGAAGGCCUCGUCUUGACUGGUGACUCGGAGCACUUUGGGAUAUUGUUGCGUCACAACAUACUGGCCUCAGGAAGACUGAGUCCCUGCCUGCACACUUUACGAUUUCAUGACAGUCGAGACUGAAACACAAAAUGUCCUCAUUUGUGGAUUGAAAAUGAUAAGAAAGAAAGAACAAGAAUGACGAAAGAAACACAACAAAGACUAUCUGAACAAACAACUGAGUAUUUAUAUUGUAGCUGCUGAUUUAGUCAUGUAUUAAACAAAGUCAUAUUAGCUUAUUGUAGCAUAUAUAUGGUGUCAAAAAGACCUCUGGGUCAAUUGAAGAAUUUUGUUUUAUUUAUACAUUUGCUGUUAGUGUACUGUUGUA